CAGUAGCCGCGGGAAUACGGAGGGUGCAAGCGUUAAUCGGAAUUACUGGGCGUAAAGCGCACGCAGGCGGUUUGUUAAGUCAGAUGUGAAAUCCCCGAGCUUAACUUGGGAACUGCAUUUGAAACUGGCAAGCUAGAGUCUUGUAGAGGGGGGUAGAAUUCCAGGUGUAGCGGUGAAAUGCGUAGAGAUCUGGAGGAAUACCGAUGGCGAAGGCAGCCAUCUGGCCUAAUACUGACGCUGAGGUACGAAAGCAUGGGGAGCAAACAGGAUUAGAUACCCCGGUAGUCCCUGUCUCUUAUAC
rnacentral:rRNA from 1 species